rnacentral:rRNA from 1 species
GCGCAGCAGGCGCGAAACCUCCGCAAUACACGAAAGUGUGACGGGGCCAUCCCGAGUGCCGUCCGCUGAGGACGGCUUUUCCCCAGUGUACACAGCUGGGGGAAUAAGGAGAGGGCAAGCCUGGUGUCAGCCGCCGCGGUAAUACCAGCUCUCCGAGUGGUGGGGACGCUUAUUGGGCCUAAAGCAUCCGUAGCCGGCUGGGCAAGUCCUCCGUUAAAUCCAACGAUUCAAUCGUUGGGCUGCGGGGGAUACUGUCCAGCUUGGGGGCGGGAGAGGCCGACGGUAUUCCCGGGGUAGGGGUGAAAUCCUAUAAUCCCGGGAGGACCACCAGUGGCGAAGGCUGUCGGCUAGAACGCGCCCGACGGUGAGGGAUGAAAGCUGGGGGAGCGAACCGGAUUAGAUACCCCUGUAGU